UCACUUGGAGUCUGUGGCUUGGCAGCUGGAGGUGUGAGUCACCCCUAAUGGAGGUGGGAGAACAGGAGGCGUGGUGGGAGGCCCCAUCCCAACAGGCCACAUCCAUGUUCACAAGGGCUCCUGCCAAGGGCCCAUCUUGGAACCUGGAGAUCAACGUCCCACAUGGCCUUCGCUUUGCUACACUAGAUGUAACUUCACCUCCCUGCGUUCCCCUGGCAAGUGGGGUCAGCUGCUUGGGCCGUCACUCCAGGCCUGCCCACACUGCAGAAGACAGCCACCGUGUGUCCCUCCUACAGAUGGACUGGAUGCUCACCAGCCCCUGCCAGUGGAGAGACAUGAGGCCCUCAUGCAAACUGGCAGCCCUAGAGGAGAACCGGCCAUACUUGUUGGACAGAAACAGUACCCAGAACUCUCAGUCUGCCUCUGCCUGACAUGGCCCUGGCUGCCUAGCCAACUGGCUUGCAGAAGAGGGACAUUGGCCUGAGUCAAGGGGACGGGGUUGGAGGCAUUGCAUUGUCACCUAGCAGCAGUAUGUCUGGGCAGCAUGUGUUACCUCUCUUCCCCUUCCCCUGCUGGCCGGAUGUCCCUCAGAUUCAUCCUGGAUCUGGUGCCGUUCUUCAAAUAUGUGGCCUGCUUCAAGAUAAUGUAACUGCACAUCAGCUAAAUGAUUAUAAAGCAGCUGGUGCCUCCCAAGACGGAGCCCCCGCAACGGCAGUGAUUUUGACAGGCAGAGAUAAGGGUGUUUCCAUAAUAAUGUGGUAGAUUAAGGGAUUCAGCCUGCUGUACUGAGGGGAGACUAAAAUGCAUCUGAAUUUUUAUUUGGAGAGAUCUGAAUGUAUUUUACUAACAAGUCUGGUCCUUUUGGGCUGAACUUUCCAUUUGUCAUGGAAGUGCCCGGCAAUAUCUUGACUCCGAUGUUGUAGGAAGACCAGCUUCCCAAAAUGAACAUCCUGAAUCGAAUCGCCUCCUGUGGGUUUCCUAUUGAUUCACACGGUGACGGGAUUAGCUCAGUCACGGGAGUACCAGCCCUUUUCAUUGUGAUAGGAUCUGUAAUAAAACUUGGCUAGUCG
rnacentral:lncRNA from 1 species